CAAUAAAAGAGUGUGAACAUUGGUCCUGAAAGGGUAAGGUGGAGAAAAGGUCUGGAAGUCCCUAAUGCAUGGAUUUUAUUAGAGGUUAGGUAGGUCCCCUUUCUCUGACCUCUUUCUUUUAUUCUUUUUCAGUAGCUGCUACCAAUAACUGUUAAAGACAUGAUAUUGUCUUGAUGGGCUUUUGAUUUGACUCAGUGCAGACACUCUUAGGAGGUUUAAUGGACCGGCUCCUCUUUGGAACAAUUCCAAUGUCUUCAAUGAAUAAGAAGCAGAAAUGAUUUCCUACAUGUCUGACAAUUCCUGCUUUGUUUCCAUUUCAGCAUUUCCUAAGGCUUAAAAGCAACUCUUAGCCUCUGAACUUUUCAUUUGAGUUCCUGUCUUGGUUCUCUUAGUUAUGCUCAGCAUUACAUUAAGACAAGCAUAAGGAAAAAAAUAUACAGUAUUGGUUUAUUAAAUUGUCACAACAAAUAGUGCCAAAUGAGGGGCUGCAAUUCCCAUCUGUCCUGGUGAUUGGAUGAGGAUGUACUUCAUUACUGCCACUGUGGACCUGGGCAGUUUGGAGCACUUGGCAGAGGGGGCAGAUCCCAGGAGCAGAGGUGGGAAGCCCUUGGAGCACUGGUACAAGGGCUGGGCACGGCUGAGUGACCGUGGCCAGCUGGGUCAGGCCCCAGCCCCUGAGGCUGCUCCCUCAGCCCCCAGCUGCUUCUGUAGAGGAGGGAGGGCCUGGAAGGUCAGGCCAGGUGUGUGUAUAAGUGUGUACUCAUAUACACAACCUCCCAAUUAAUAUCAUGGUUCUGUUUCGGUACAUUACAGGACACAGGCAGUGUUUCAAACCUUAAAAGUUGCAGACAAAUGGUAUAGCUUGCUGUGGAACUAAUUGAUUCUGAGUUUUGGUUUAGUCAUAUGAUGACUCCAUUUUAAGAUAGCACUAAAAUAAAUUAAACAUUUAUACUAUUUUUUUUUUUGCUUUUUAAUUUUAUUUAUUUGCUCUUCUUUUAAUUUCAGGGCUUCAGAAUAUAUUCACCACCUCCUGGGACCCUUUUGUGGGCUGUCAGUUCUGCAUUUUUUUUAGGUUACAAAUGAGUUUGCUCUGCAGGUUUGUAGCUUAAACCAGAACUGCUACUGGGAAAUGCAAAUGCAUGAAAUGAGAGACCCUCCAGGCACCACAUGAAUUCAUAGCACAGAUUGCCAGUGCCACCUAGAAAACAGAAUGAGAUCAAACACUAAUUCAUCCAUGUCUGCAGGAUGCUCUAGAAUCCAGCAUGGCUAAAAUUGCACACAUCCUUUUGAAAAUUUGAGUUACAGUUCUCCUAAACAGAAGGAUACAGACUGGCCAUCUCAAGGCAUUAUGAGACUUGUAAAUAUGCUUGCAUAUAUUUACUGCAUAUAUGUGUUUCUGUAGGCAGAUUUUGUUCUUAAUGUAAAUUGCUUUAAAAUUUUCUCAGCCUACAUUUAUUAACAGAUAUUCCUGUGCAAUGCAAUUCUGUCUGUGAGACCCAUUGGUGACCUUCCCUGGCAAACCAAGAUGCAAUCAGUGUGGUGAAAUCUGUACACUUUUCUACGAUCCCAGUAAGUAGAUUUAUGAUUUAAUAAUCAGGAAAAAAUCAGAUAAAGAAAACCCUCUGGCUCUGUCAACCUGCUAAGAGCACCUGAUUGCUCCAGAGCUCAGUGAGAAGUCACAGUUUAAUACACUCCACCUGGUGCUGCCUCACCAAUGCUGCUUUGUACCUCUCUAUUGCCCAGGAAGUCUGAGGUUGGUUUUAUUGUUCUGAGCCUUCUGAUUAUGCUCAAGCUAAAAUGAGGGAUUGCACAUUUCAAUUUGUGGUGACCCUGUCUUGUGAAAGGGCGUUGCUAUGAGCAAAAAUAGAAAUGAGGCUUGUGACCCUGUGUUUUAAAUCACUUAUUGUCACUACAGUGUAGAGUCUUGAUUUUGCAGAGCUUCUCUACCUGCACACUUAAAGGUAUGCUUAAGACCAUUUGUUUUAUCCAAAUAGAGCUAUGUAUUUAAACCCCAAUCUAUGCAUAGGAGCAUGGCUCAAUGAAGUUGUAAAGCAAAAUGGGAUAACUGAGGUUUCACAGCAAGCCAGAAUGAAUCUGUGACACAGUCGUAAACAGUAUACAAAUGAUGACACACAUCACAGCUAAAGUCAUAGGAGGAAAGGAACAUUUCUGGCACAAGGAAAAGAUUGACACUGACAGCUAGUGGGGGGAAAAUACAAAAAUCAGAAAUCACACCAACAACACACACAAAAGUUGAAGCUGUCACCAUGCUAAGAUCUCUAGAAAAUAAAAUAAGACACUCUCAGUCUGUCUAGCCAGCAUCAGAAAAUGAGGCAAAAACAUGAAACCAAAGAGGAGUAUAAAGUCACUCCAGCUGCUCCCAGAUGCCCCAAGCAGGGAAGGGGGAGAGAUUAAAUCAACUGUUUUGAAAGAGAGGGAAUCCAGUGCAUCCAAAAAAGGAAAAAAAGUAAAUUGAAGCCCACAUUAGUGCUACUGAAAAAUGGACAGUCUUUUUUUAAGGAGAACAUGAUCUGAGUACAAGUAAAAUGAGUUCUCUGUUAGAUUUGAUUUAAGAGAAAGAAAAAAGUUCAUGGACAGACCACAGGACCUAAAAUCCUGAUUUAAUUUUAACAAACUACAGUGAAUGAUGCAGAGGGAACAGAGAGAGGGAGCUAAGUAGAUGAGAGGUUAGUAUAGAUUUCAGAAAAAGUAACUUUUUCAGUAAUUUUAUUAUACCUAACACAGCACCUGUUACUGCUUGAGCCAUUUGCUUUCUCCUCUUUGUGAGCUUCAUAUUUAUUCUAGAAUGAUAUUAAGUUCUGUGUAUACAGAUGCUACAGGAUCUGAAAGAAUUAGGAGAAAUGUGUCAGAAGUCAUCAUUUGUUUCCUCAGCCAAAAGUGUCCAAAGAAAUGCUGGAUAUCCUAUUUCUUCAAAUGUUUGCUACCCCAGACACAGAACAGACAGCUGUGUAUGAGCUUGUCCUGGCAAAGGAGUGGAGAGGGUAACCUCAUCUACCCUUUCAGCCUCUGAGCUUUGAUGAUUCAUAUUUUGCAAGAGCAGCUUUGCUUAUAAAUAAGAGCAGGUUUAGCAAGUGAAACCGGUUAGCCUUCAAACAAUUAAUGCAUGCUUCCUAACAGAAGGCAGAGCUUGAACCCAAAGAGCAAACUGCUCUUGCUGUGAAUGCUUUCCAGAGUUUAAUUUCACAUGUAGGACCAGUAGCACUCACAGCAGGAAGGCGGAAUGAGCCAUGUGGGGAUGUUGGAAACUGGGAUGACAAAGCAUUGCAAAAGUACUCGUAACAUAAAUUGCUUAUCACUCUGUGCUUUGUUCUUCAAACAGAGAUGAUUUUGACACCGUAUCCUGUUUCAAGGGAAGAGGUGAACCAGGAGAGUGCUAGACCGAAAGCUAAUCCCAGCAGCAUUCUUGCCAUCCUGAAUGGCAGCACAAUUGUUUCUCACGCAAUGCUAUCACAGACAAGGAAGAAGAGCAGAUCACUGGUACAGUGCUCCAUGGCAGCCUGGGGAAUCCAGAGAUGGAGAAAUAAAGGGAUAUGGAUCUCUAAUUCAGAGCAGAUUGAAAAAACAAUGUCGGAAAAAGGAUCUGUAUUUAUACUCAUAAUACAGAACACAAGGAUCACUUCAUUCAGCAGCUGGAGACACAGGGAACAUCCAUAUCCUAGAUUUAGAAAGCUGAGAAGGCAUCACAGCCCAUCUCCUCCUGCUAGCACAGGAUGAUGAGGAGCUCCAGAUGCUCCUGGGGAUCACAUGCACCCUAGGAGGGCUCCUUUGAAGAGGGAGCAAUGGGGACCCUGCACAGUGGCUGGGCAAGCUGCCUUUCCUAGUCCAGCUGCCAGCAGAUCAGAGGAUCCCAUGAGCAGUGAUACCGACACCGGCAUGGCACAUCCCGGGGUGGCAGAGACACCACCACUCUGCAUUGGAAAUGCAUGAAGCAAAGGUGAGCAGCUACUUACAUCUGAUACAGCCUGAUGCAGGGGUGAGCUUGGCUGUGGCAAACAGCCUUUCCUCUGUUACUCUCAAUGCUCUAGUAUUUGUGCAUUGUAUGGGGCACAGAUCCAUGGAAAGCUUGAAGGUUACUGGCAAUCUGCUGGUCCAAACCUUUGGAAGCCACUCCUCGAGGAGUCCUCUCUAGGUGACCAUUGAAGAAAUUAUCAUUUUGCAAGAGAAAAAGCAAGACUAUCACCACCCAAGUGGCCUGAAAUGAGGUGAACUCAACUAAGUCACAGCAGAGCUCUGUCUGUAAUCCAUGCCUAGUCAUGUAAGUUAUUCUUAACUUCCAUUACAUAUGUACAAACAAGGAGGUGGCACUAUCACCUGUGGUACUCUUCUGGGUGCCUUCUCUUACCCAUAACUGCAUACAAGACUGUCUCAGACCAAGAAAUUGCUGAUUGUGCCUUGGAGUAACUGAGGCACACCCUGACACAAGGCAGUAAAUACUGGGCAGCUCAUACACAAUAACAUGUUGUUUAGAAAAAACUUGUCAGCCUACAUCACUACCUAGUAGCAAAGUUUUGGUUUCUACAUGCUAGGUAGACAAGAAGAGAUGGAGAAUUUGGGCUGGUUCUGUAGUAAAGAUCUGUCCUACUCAUGCAGAAACACUAUCCAAAUCACAGAGGAUCAGGAAAAUCAACUACAGGCUCCCUGAAUUUCUAUAUGAAGCAAUCACAGUUACACAACUCAUAAUUGAGUUUACUGCACUUCACUCUGUGUUCUUUAUUACAGUGUUGACUAAUGAAGUCUUACUUUAGAAUAAAACUCUGCUUCUGGUAACAUUGUGGUGUUAAUAUAAUUAUUCAUUGUCUGUGUGUUGUGCUUGUGCCAGUGCUGAAGAGCAGAUGUUACGAGUGAAAUCUGAAGAGUUUAUUAUAACCAAAAAUAAUUAGCUUCCUGUUCUGUAGGAACAAGUCUCUUGUCCACCAGACUAAUUAGAACUCCAGUCAGUCUUGUGUCAUGUUGCAACUAAAUCUCUGAAAUGUUAUUUUUUUAAGGUUCAAAGACUUGACAGCGAGGUAACUCAUCUGGAUAUCAUAUGAAAAGGCUGAC